rnacentral:lncRNA from 1 species
UCCCAGUUUAUCCCAGUGCCCCCAGCCCCAUUCCCAGCCCAAACCAGUAUAAACCAGUAUAAACCAGUAUAAACCAGUAUAAACCAGUAGGUUCCCGUACGGUUCCGGUCCAGCCGCAGCAGCCGCAGGCGGGGGAGGGGCGAGGCCACGCCCACCUCGGUCACGUGGUUCCCGGAGAGAUCCAGCUCCUGCAAACUGGGACGUACUGGGACAGACUGGGACGUACUGGGAUGGACUGGGAGGGACUGGGAGGGACUGGGAUCAAACUGGGAGGGACUGGGAGGGACUGGGAGGGACUGGGAUGGACUGGGACAAACUGGGAUCAAACUGGGAUAUACUGGGAUGGACUGGGACAAACUGGGAGGGACUGGGAUCAAACUGGGAUAUACUGGGAUGGACUGGGAUCAAACUGGGAUGGACUGGGGUGGGACUGGUUUAUACUGGGAGGGACUGGGAUCAAACUGGGAGGGACUGGGAUGGACUGGGACGGACUGGGACAAACUGGGACGGACUGGGAUCAGACUGGGACGGACUGGGAUCAAACUGGGAUAUACUGGGAGGGACUGGGACGGACUGGGAUUGGACUGGUUUAUACUGGGAGGGACUGGGAUCAAACUGGGAUGGACUGGGAGUUACUGGGACAAACUGGGGUGCGUUACUGGUGUAACUGGGUUGGUUACUGGCCUGUACUGGCCUGUACUGGCCUGUACUGGUCUGUACUGGUCUAUACUGGUCUAUACUGGUUUGUACUGGUCCAUACUGGUUUCUCACCCGCAGCCUCCGCAGCGCCCCCAGCGCCGGCAGCGCCCGCAGUUCGUUCCCAGCCAGAUCCAAGCGGCUCAGGGCGCCCAUCCGCUCCACCAACGGCAGCGAGGUCAGGCCCUAAACCAGU